AAUGAACGCUGGCGGCAUGCCUAAUACAUGCAAGUCGAACGAAGGCUUCGGCCUUAGUGGCGCACGGGUGCGUAACGCGUGGGAAUCUGCCCUUGGGUUCGGAAUAACAGUGAGAAAUUACUGCUAAUACCGGAUGAUGUCGAAAGACCAAAGAUUUAUCGCCCGAGGAUGAGCCCGCGUAGGAUUAGCUAGUUGGUGUG
rnacentral:rRNA from 1 species